CAUCUCGAGAAUUAAAGACAGCGCUGCAGUCCGUCCUGUUCCAGUGUAGAGGGGGCAUCUGGUAUUAAUUCUGAGAGAUCAGCACUGAAUUAUCUACAGCUGAAAACCUCACUUUUACUGGAACUGAAGUGUGAGCUACAAAAAUGAAGCUUCACUUUUUACUUUGCCUGUGUGUUGUUGGAGCUUUUGCUUCAGAGUGACUAUGAUGACGAUGAUGGAAUGGAAGUCAAACAAGAUCCUAAAGAAAUCCUAGAUCCAAGGGGUCAUCAUCCUGUCAGUAGAGGUCAUGAGACGUACUCCGCAGGCCCAGCUGGGGGCGUUACUGUGGAAGAACAACUGCAGCACCGGUGGGAAAACUUCUGCAGGAGAAGGAAGAGCUGCUAGAGUCAGAGUAGGAGUAGGAAAACCCUCCAGAAGCAAGAACGUAACGUGAGGCCAACUGUAGAUCAGCUCAAAAGAUCUGUGGAUGAGCUGACCCAGUCCACCAACUCUGUCUAUGGCUACGUCUUGGAUAUGACCGCAGAUGUAGACAAAGACAAAAAGUCAGCGAGGGUAACUAUACUUCAUAACAGAGCUUUGAAACUUUUAUAUCUGCAAGUAAUAGUCUAUAGUGAUCAGACAAGAACGAUUCUUGAUUAGCGUUCCUAUAGCUCAACUGGUAAUGCUGAGGACAUGGGUUUGAUUCCCAGGGAACACAAAAUCUGAUCAAAAAUAAAAUAUACAUUAAGUCAGUAAGAAUAAAAGAAUAUCUGCCAAAUGCAUAUUUGUUGUCUUUGUCAACCCAUUUUUCAUUUUUAUUAGACAUUCUCAAUUAUUAAACAUCCCCCAAAUCACUGUUUGUGUUCUCUCACAGGCAGUACAGACAGCCUAGAGAUCCAGCAUGCUUAUAUUAAUGAAAUAAAGCUAAGCAGCACUGAUGUUUAUAACAGACUUAGGAAAUUAUUAUUUUAGAAGGAUAACAAUUUUGGAUACCAAACUUUUAAACUACGAACAGAAUCUAUAAACAUAUAUUUAUAAACUAUAUAUAAAUAGAUAAAUCUUAAGGUGAUAUGUUUAGUUGUCUCAUAUAUUGUUUCAUAUAGGUCCUCAGACCUCUUUUAUGAAUACCUUAAGAUUUUUUUUUUGUUAUGUUUUUGAAUAAAAAAUUUCAGAUGUUUUAAUAGUAUAAUCUGUAGUGCACUAAAUGCUGUGAUAGGGCUGUCCUUUGUAGGAACCACGAUAACUUGACUUUGUCCUACACGGAUGAGAUUGUGUGUAGUACGAAAUUGUACUUUUGACUGUCAAGUUUAGUAGUAAGUGUGUAACGUGUCUGUCCACGGAAAGCGGAAAAAUUAAAUAAAUUGAAC
rnacentral:lncRNA from 12 species